rnacentral:rRNA from 1 species
UACGUAGGGUGCGAGCGUUGUCCGGAUUUAUUGGGCGUAAAGAGCUCGUAGGCGGUUUGUCGCGUCGGCCGUGAAAUCUCCACGCUUAACGUGGAGCGUACGGUCGAUACGGGCAGACUUGAGUUCGGUAGGGGAGACUGGAAUUCCUGGUGUAGCGGUGAAAUGCGCAGAGUAUCAGGAGGAACACCGGUGGCGAAGGCGGGUCUCUGGGCCGAUACUGACGCUGAGGAGCGAAAGCGUGGGGAGCGAACAGG